UACGAAGGGGGCUAGCGUUGUUCGGAUUUACUGGGCGUAAAGCGCACGUAGGCGGACUUUUAAGUCAGGGUUGAAAUCCCAGAGCUCAACUCUGGAACUGCCUUUGAUACUGGAAGUCUUGAGUAUGGUAGAGGUGAGUGGAAUUCCGAGUGUAGAGGUGAAAUUCGUAGAUAUUCGGAGGAACACCAGUGGCGAAGGCGGCUCACUGGACCAUUACUGACGCUGAGGUGCGAAAGCGUGGGGAGCAAACAGG
rnacentral:rRNA from 1 species